rnacentral:misc_RNA from 1 species
CACACACUUACAGCGACCGCGGCGGCAUCAUAACCUUCGAGGAACCCAUCCUACCCUCAUCUUCCCUUACCCAGCAUCCCAUCCCAUCCCAUCCCAUCCCAUCUUGCGUACGCGAGCUCGGAGACGACGCGCAAGAAGACGCGGUAUCUCUUAGGCGCAACACCAUCCGACUCGUGUUGCACAUCUUCUUGGUCGUUCCUCGUCGCCGGACGCCCAUACGUACACGCAAGCGCAGCAGCGGCAAAGGGAAGCGCAAUGUCGCGCCCCAAUUUUGACGAUCUUCUCCACAGCCCCCCGAUUCCCUUCACCCUGAAGAUCCUGGGCAUUCUUGGCGCCUUCGGCUGUGGCACCUAUGUGCUCUUCCUCUUCAUAAUGCACCAGUACUACAGUAUCCGCUCCUUCGCCGCGCUCCUCUACCUGCUCACGUUUUCGAUCAUCAUCCCUUCAGCGGAGUCGGGUUUGUUGAACUACACGAUGCUGGCCGUCUUCGCCCGUUUCCUUGUCUCCCCGAUCGGCCGCGCCUUCCUGUACGUGUUCAUGGGCGGGGUGAUCCUCGGCAAUGGCAUCGGUGGCUGGGUGGUGGGCGCGUACCUCUUCGUCGUCGCCAUUCUCAACGUUAUUGCCGGGUGCUUACUGUAUGCCUAGAAAGGGGCAGCUGUGUGUGGCCUGUCUGAGCGGCGGCAGCGGUGUUGAACGAGGAGCUUUCGAAUUCAGUGUGAGGGUCCGCGGCGUCCGUAUGAGGAGCGGAGGGGUCGUCAUGGAAACACCGCGGUAGGGUCGUUCUAGCCAUCCUGCCUUCCUGAAUAUGGUUUCCUGCGUGCGUCCCGGUACGUUGCUUUCUCUCUCUUUCUUUCCCUCUUCUUCCUUCUCGAGCGCCCGUCAUGCGCCACACACACACACACACAGAUGUCUUCGCUACGCCAUGAUCUCGCUCGAACAGUCGAUUCGUUGUUUCACCGGGGCAUCGCCCUUCAUUCCUUCCUCCCUUCUUUCAUCGCUUUCCAUGUGUCUUUCGAGUUAUGCGUUUUGUUUUUCUUCUGCAUGUUUGCUCUUGCGCCGAGGAAGCGUAUGAUUACCGCGUUGUUUCCGUUACGUAGCGUUCCUCGUGCGGAGAAUCGCGAAGUUGCCCCCUCCCUCUCUCCCUCCCUCCCUCCCCCUCUCUCCAACAGCGUCCAUGCCGUCCCAGUGAACUGUAGUAGUUUGUGCGCGCGCCUGUGGAUGUGCAUGCGGUGUGUGUAUGUGCGUGGGUGUGCGAGAGAGAGAGCAUGAACGCGCUGAAUGUGUCUCCGUUAUUAUUAUUUUUUUUGUAGGAGUCGAUGUGGUGCCUGUAGAACGUUGAGAGUGGCGGGGGGAGGGAGGAGGUUGAGGCGGCUCUGCCGAACUCCUGGUGGCUAUUGUGAACUCCAUCGGCCCCCUCUUCCGUUUACUCGAUGCCGUUGCGGCGCCGCCGCUGCAGGAGCUCUUUUCCAGACUUCGCUGGCACCCUUGUCUCCGAUUGCAUGCGUAUGUACAUAUAUAGGUCUGCGCGCGGUUACUCGCACUCGCUCCCCCGCCACCCCACCCCAUUGCCUUUCAUUUCCCUUCUUCCAUGUGUCUCUCUUCUAUUCGAAUCAGCAGCAGAAACACACACGCACACAAGCAAAACGAGCCAACGGGGGUGGCGGCGGAACGCAACACAACGACAGGAAGCGAGGUACGCUGUGUGCCCGCUCUGCAAUGCCCACGACGCCCACGGUGAAAUGCGCACGAGCAGCAGCAACGACCGUAGCGGGGAUGGCCCUUUUGCCC